GACGAACGCUGGCGGCGUGCUUAACACAUGCAAGUCGAACGGAAAGGCCCUGCUUGCCGGGUACUCGAGUGGCGAACGGGUGAGUAACACGUGGGUGAUCUGCCCUGCACUUCGGGAUAAGCCUGGGAAACUGGGUCUAAUACCGGAUAGGAGCCAUUUUUAGUGUGAUGGUUGGAAAGUUUUUUCGGUGUAGGAUGAGCUCGCGGCCUAUCAGCUUGUUGGUGGGGUAAUGGCCUACCAAGGCGGCGACGGGUAGCCGGCCUGAGAGGGUGGACGGCCACAUUGGGACUGAGAUACGGCCCAGACGCCGACGGGAGGCAGCAGUGGGGAAUAUUGCACAAUGGGCGCAAGCCGGAUGCAGCGACGCCGCGUGGGGGAUGACGGCCUUCGGGUUGUAAACGCCUUUCGCUAGGGACGAAGCUUUUUGUGACGGUACCUAGAGAAGAAGCACCGGCUAACUACGUG
rnacentral:rRNA from 1 species